UAAUACAUAUAAGCAUACAUGCAUAAACAUGUAAAAUAAAGGGAUUUAGAUUCUGUUCAUUCAUCCAUCAUCUGAAAGUCUAGAGAGAAUCUGACCUGAAUCUUGUUGUAUUUUGUAGAAUUUUAGAACUCUAGAGUUUCAAGCCUUGUGACUAAUGAUAUGAAUUAUCCUUAGUUUGUAAUUGUGGAAGUUGGGGAUUAAAGUAGAUGGAGGGCAUAAGGUUUAUGCUUAUACCUAAAUAGGUAAACUAGAUUAUAGGAAAUGGGCUCAAAUUUGUUAUAAUUACGUGCUGUUUUAAGAAACCUCAAGUACUUCAGAAACUACUUUCCAUAAAAACAAUUUAUAUGCUAAUUAUGUUAUUUUUAUUUAUUCUUUAAAGUAGAUUUUGCUAGGUAAUCUUUGUUCAAUUUGCCAAAUAAAUUUUCUAAAACAAUUUUAUUUGUCAGGUGAGUGUUUCUUCAGUUGACUCAGCACAAAGUUUGACUAUAGUUUUGAAAAAUCAUUUAAAGAACCCUUGUUGAUAUCCAAUAAUCCUUUGUGUUCUUACAGUUUCACUGGUAUGAGAAAUUUGUAUUGAUUCUAACUUUUCAUGAAUACUAUUUCUUAGUCCUUGUUUGAUUCAUUCUGAAAGCUCAGUCUUUCUGUGUAAAGCUCAAGGUUGCCAGUAAAAACCAUGCUACAGGUGAACAGAAACAUUUCAGAGAAAAAUUGACGUUGUAAAACUUAUUCUUCAUCUGAUUACUUUGGCAGAUGUGUUUGUAUGACUGGUAACAAUAUAAAUUAAAUCAGCUGCAAAGCAAGCGUUUCUAUCCACUGUGAAUCUUACCCUUUGGGAUAGUACAUCUACUUGUGUUCAUUUGUAGCCCAUGUGCCUGCCAGCUCAGUAUAUUUUUCCGAACUAGUAUUAUGAGCAUCUCAGCCAUCAGUUGUGAUUGUUUAUGCUAAGGCUUUGGUGGUCUUAUGUAUAUGUGCCAGUAUUACCCUCUAAAUUAUUGGCUUUAAGAGUAUGAGAAAAGCAGUCUUUGAUGUGAAGAUCUGAUUUUCCCCUUUAAUAGCAAAGGUUUCCCUUUAACAGCAGAAUUUUAAAUUUUUAUCUCAGAUGAGGACUGUUGCUUUUGUAGUACAGAAAAGCUAAUGAUGCUGCUGUUCUUUGGAAGCUUUUGAUUUCAGUUUUAGAAAGAACGAUUUAACACCUUACAAAACAUCAGAAUGAGCGAUUGUGGUCUUCUUUUCUCUUUGUUGACUUUCAUAUUUACAGUCUUGGACUCAUAGACUUAAAUGGGAGUGAGGGGCGGCUUGAAGAUACUCUCUGCCAAUCAGUUCAUCUAUAGGUGACACUACCUGGCACUAUUCAUUUGUUCCUUUUAUGUCUCCCUGUGGCACGGAAAGCUCUGUAAGGGCAGGAGGUUGAUUUGCCUUGUUCACUGUUGUGUCCCCAGUAAGUGAAGAGCCUAAGACUUGGGGAAAGAAAAAAGACUUACCCAAGAUUGUCCAGCCAGUAAGUUGCAAAAUAUGACCUAGAAGUUUCACCUACUGACCACAAACUUUGUGCUUUUUUGUUAUUUAAAAAAAUGGACUUUACUUGGGAGUCUUAAUUAUUUGGAGCCUUAAUCUGUAUAAAACAGCAGAAUCCUACAGUUUACACUUAUUGGAUACUGUUUUUCAGGCAUAUAAACUACUUACUUCAUUGAACCCAUAGAGUAAAACUCAUUGAUGGAAUGUGUUUUUAUCCAUAUAUUUUUUAAAACUUAUUUUAUGUAUGUCCAGAGAGACGGCACGAGUGUACACAAACAGAGGAGGAGCAGAGAGGGAAGGAGAAAGAGAAUCCCAGGCCGGCUCCAUGCCUCCAGCACAGAGCCAGAUGUGGGGCUUGAACUCACAAACUGUGAGAUCAUGACCUGAGGUGAAAUCAGGAGUCAGCCGCUUAAGUGACUGAGCCACCCAGGCACCCCAUCCAUAUUUUUUACAGGUGAAGAAACUUGGGCUUUAAAAGGUUAAUUUAAAGGAAAAGGUUAAUUUACUGGGGGUUAGAGGCAGGAUUCAAAUCUGUUUUUCCCCACCUGCCAAGUUUAGUGAUCUUUCUACUUUUGCCUUUUAUAUGGGGGCCAGUGUUUGUCAGUAUAAAGAAUUAUCCCCUCCCAGAGUAACAGUAACUGAAAUUAUUUUGCCCAGUGCCUUAAAUGUUGCAGAUCUUAAUACCUGUAGAAUUUGUUGAGUGAGUGCUGGCUUAGCCUAGAAGUUUCUUUCAAAGACAGUAAAAGAAGCAUCACUUAAUUACUUUCUUUCAUCUGUGAUAGUCAGUUUUGGCCUCCUGUGUGGUCUGAUUUGAAGAGCUUUUCUGUUUCCUUAUCUUUUUUUCAUUUCCCCAUAAUUAGACUUGGAUUUCCUCAUUUUGGUCCUAAAUGAUUGCAAGGUUCAGAGCUUUCCUGCUAAAUUACGGAUACCCCUGAGAUGGUAUGGUAUUAACUUGGUUGAAGAUUAACAUUACAGCUGGGAGAAAAAUAUUGUCUUUUGUUGUUUUUAUUAUGGAAAAUGAAGAGGAAUGAUGACAAGCAGGGAAGUGAGCGGAAGCCACUGUAACAUGGCAUAUUUGUCCACAUUUUGUGCAAAUGGUAAACCUCUUAUCCAGUGAAAUUUUGUCUAGGCUCAAUUGGACUAGUUUCUUUGAACUCAGGAUAAUCUCAUUACAUCUCCACUUUGGUAUGCAAACCCAUCUGCCAACCAGUUUUAGGGAAAAGUCAUGCAUGAGUAAUACUGCUGUUUCUUAUACAUGAAGAUUGGAGAUUUCAAGAGGGGAUGGUGUUCUGCACCAUUGCAUGUUGGUGCAGGAAAGAGGUAGCUGCCUGUCCACAAGAGCUGCUAUGUUACUACCUGCAUACAACACAUUUAUUUUUCAACUGUGGAUAUUCCAGUAUUUAUUUCUUUUAAAAAGAUGUUAGAAACAUUGAUCUUUUAAAUUAGUGACCCUAAGAAAUAGAACUCAUUUUUUAAAAAAAAAUUUCCAUUUUUCCCUCUAGCAAUUUAUAUAUUCUUUACCUAUUACUAAAUCCAUGUAUUUUUUCUGUUUAAAACUUACAUUUAGCCAAAGGUACGAAUAGACUCAGUGGUGGUUCUGUAACCUCACUUUUUUGUUCUCUUUCUAUAUUAAAAAAAAUUCUAAUUAGAUAUUAUAAUCAAAGUUGCUCUCUGUGAAGUCUGCACUACAUCUUCCAUUUUGUUUUUUUCUAUUCUUCAUUGGCUAGAGACUGAAGGGUAGGAAAUAAGGUGUAUUAGCAAGGAAAUGCACUUAAUUUUGGCCAUUUUCUAUUUUUUCUCUUGAUUUCUCUUAUGUUAGUGGUUUCCAAUAGUGGGAUUUAUGGCACAUUGUUUGCAAAGAUGGUCACCUGUAGAUCUUCCCAUCCGUGUUUGCAAAGAUGGUCACCUGUAGAUCUUCCCAUCCGUGUUUGCAAAGAUGGUCACUUGUAGAUCUUCCCAUCCAUGUAUGCACAUGCUGUUCCACCCAUCUAGAGGGUGGAGUCUCUUUGCCCCUCCUUUUGAAGUCUGUGCUAGCCUUGUGGGACAGAAUGUGGUAGAAGCCAUGCUGUGAAAAUUAUAGACCUUAGAAGGGGCAGUUUCUGAGCCAGCAUGUAAGGCAGGAAGCCCAAGCUUUCCUACUGGGGAGGGGAAACCUGUAUAGUAGGUAGUAGGAACACCAAAACUCAGUAGCCUCCAACCAGCACCAUUUCCGGACAUGGGAGUGAGGCACCUCAGAUCCUCCAGCCCCAGGUAAGCCUCGCUAACACCAUGUGGAGCAGAGAUGGACAUUCUCCUCUGAGCUCUGCUCUGAACUGCACAUCCACAGAAUCAAAAGCAAAUAAAAUAGUAUAUGUUAUAUACCACUGAUUUGGGAGGUAGCUUGUUGCAGAGCAAUAGAUAACCAAGACAGAGUAUUUCUUCCAAAACUUUCUUCUUUUCUUAAAACUGGUUACAAUUUGUCCAACUAUAUCCACACACCUGUAUUCUUAAGGGGUCUGCUAACUGACCAGUAUUUUGUUUGUUGGGUAAGAAUUUGUUGUUUAACAAACAACAUUAUUCAGCAGCUGUUUCUCAUUUUGUUCUUUACCAGCUUUAUAUUUGUCUUCACUUACGGCAGAUUCUGUGUCUCCUGAAAUGCCCCUGAGAGGUCAUUUUGCUGGAGCACUCAGAGAGACCAAUUUCUCAUAGUAUGUGGAAGACAAAAAAAUUACUCCUCUCUUGCAAAAGAAAAAUAAUGAAACAAAAAAAAAGAACCUGUUUUCUCUAAAGAGUAUUUCCUGCUACCAAAUUAGACCCUACUCACCUCUCAGACUCCAUGAGUAACUGAACAUUGUACUCAUUGCUGGACAAAGAACAAAACAAGAAUCUGGGAAUAAAAAUCAAGCAAAGGCCAAGACGAUCCAGGGAGAGUUUGCAAUGUACAUUUUCUGUUCAAAUUGUACAUGUGGAUUUCUGCUGGGUCACCAUCUAUCUCUCCCACCCUAAGAUGAUAGUACACACUCUAACCUCUAAAGCAGUGCUGUUCCCACUGGACAUUUGGUAAUGUGUGGAAACAUUUUUGGUUUUUACAACUUGAGGCAGAUAGGUACUCCUCAUAUUUAAUGCACAGAGGCCAAAGAUGGUGCUGAACAUUUUGCAGUGCAUGGUAUCUGGCACACAGGAGGUCAUAAUUGAGUAUUAAAUGGAUGGAUGAAAGGUCACAGAGUGUAACAAAUGUUUAUAGUGUGUCUUUUCUUCCUUCUCUUUCCCCAAAGGUACUGAAGGUAGGCUUUGUUAAAGGUCAGAUUGCUAAUUCAGGUAUAACCCGUGAUCUUCUUAUUAAUAUGCAUAGAUAAAAGAUUUUUUUGCAUUUCCUACUCUCAACAGAGAUGAAAGCUAAAUAAUUUUUAGUUAUAAUGUGGGAUGUGUGUGCGCACACACAUGUAUGUUUAUAUUAGAGAAUACUUGCCACUUAACCAGAGAUUAAUAGAUUAAUGUAUUAACAGAGGAGAAUUAAUGGCGAGGUUGAUCACACCAAUCUUGAUGAUGGUACCUUCAUUCUUAAAAUGUCAGGUCCUCAUUUUGUUGUCCUAGGGUUAUGGAAUGCAUGUGAGUUUUAGAGCUGCUCCGAAGUAACAUGCCCUAUUAAGAACAUCUCAAAAGAAGUGGUAUGUUGAGAAUAACAUAGCAUACCACUUGUAACUAGAAAAAUGCAAUACUUUAGUGUAUUUCUUACUUUUGAAAGUCAAGAAUUAGUAGGCCAAAUGAUGCCCCUAUUUUAGAAAAGAAGAAGCUUUUUUGUUUUAUGGUGCUUUCUUUUCUAGUCUCCAUGGAAUUCUGGCUUCGCUAUUUUAAUGAAAGAAAUAAAUGAAUGUGAUAAAUAACGAGAGUUUUACUUGGUGACAACAUUGUUAGUACAUUGGGGCAAUAUUACUUAAGAAAUUGAAUUAUUAACUCAAAAGGAAGGUUUAGCAGGGGAUUUAUUUCCUUCUCCUGUGUAGUAGGCUAGAGACAGGGAUAUGAAAGAUUUUCCCCCAGAAUAGCAUUUAUAUUUUUUCAUAGUGUCCUCAUUUCAUUCAUGGCCCAGAGCAAGUGCUGGCUAUUUUGAUGAACAGUAUUUAAAGGUAAUGUAUGAGACAGAUGCUGGGUAGUUCUUAAUACAUAGUUAACUAAAACUUGUCCACUUAAAAUCCAUACCUUUUCUAAAUCACACUUAGAAAACUGCAUCCUUUUUGUCUGGGGAGCUUUGAAUUCUCUUUAUCCCUUUAUCUUUGUUGCACACUUCCUUAAUGGCAUGUUCUUAGGAAUACUACGUGAGUCUACAUGUAGUUCUUUGUCUUGAAAUAAUUUCAGGUCAGAGUCCCAACAAAAUACCACAUUUGGACAGAACUUGGUAUUGAAUAUGGGCUAAUGUGAAGAACUGGUGGUGGAUUAAUUUGAAGUAAGAAGUAAAAUGGAAAGCAGAACCAGUUUGUUUCCUUAGCUCACUGCUGAGUUAAGUUUUUACAAAUUGCCUGGUAAUGACGAGAAUGUAUAAGAUUGUGGAUUCUGAGACAAGCCCAGUUCAGAAAUCUCUGCUGACUAGCAAAGGAAUUUCAGAGUCCCAGGGGGGAAAAAUAAUUAAGAGAUUUAUGGUUCAUAUAGUUCAAUAUAGUUGCUUAUUAGUUCAGUGAUUCCAUUUUAAAAUUACUCUUUUUCCCCCCUUUGGAUGGGAAAGGGACAAGAAGAAUAAAAAUUUUCAAUUUUUUAAACACUUUUAUUUGAACAGGCAUUUGAGGAUACAGAGAAAAUAUAAGACCACAAGGAAUUUAUUCCCUAAAUUGAGAGUUAGAACUGAUGUUUAAAGCAUCUCCCUGUCUUUUGCCCUUUCUCAACUUCCUCUCAUAUUCAUUUUGAUAGCUCAUUCUUUUGUUUCCUUUGGAUGGGAAAGGGCAAUUGAAAGUGAUUUCAAGGUCCUUUAAACUCUGAUCCUUGUCAACCCUGCAGCUUCAGCUCCUUUCCUGUCUUCUUUGUACUCUUAAACUCCAGACCCAUUGAACUUCUUUCAAUUCCUGAACACUUUUUACUCUCUCUUGCUUCUAGGUCUUCAUUCAUGCUGUUCCCUCUGCCUUAAACAUUCCUCCCUCCUUUUUUCUGGUAACUCCUACUCAUCCUUCAGGACUUUACAUGUCUCUUCCUCUGAGAAACUUUCCUUGUUGCCGAAGUCCAUGCUAGGUAUCCUUUCUGUUUCAUCUGUAGCACCUGAUUUUUAAUUGACUUUAAUAUCUACACUAGACUAUAAAUUUGGAGAAGACAAAGACCAUAUGUGUUGUGCCCAU